AAAGUCUGGAGAAAUUAUUCAAAGUAGUCCUAAAUUGUUCAUCCUAUCCUGCCUUACCUUUCUCUCAGAAACCCCAAUAAAGGCCAUGCCUUACAACUUACCUUGCUCCUGUUUCUGCCUCCUGACCACUCUGGUCUUCCCCAUGUUGCCAUGUAUGGCAUGCCUCCUGUCUCUAGGACCUAUGCAGCAAAAGAGAAAAACAAUGAAAGUCUGUAUUAGUCACCAGAAAAAAGGUCAGAAGUCUGAGGUACCUAAGAGAAGACAGAAAAAUGAGAUCUGGAAUUUGAGAAGCGCCUGUUAGGAGAAGAGCCAUCUCUACUACUCCCCAAAAGAUUCUCUGUUCCAGUUGGCCUUCUAUAUUGUUGGUUUCUGAAUACAUACCCCAAAGAACUUGAGCAUCAGUGAAUUUUUGGUAUCUUCUGGGAACACUGGAACUAAUCGCUUGAAGAUACCAAGGGAUGAUUGUGUUUUCAAAG